rnacentral:rRNA from 1 species
AUACGGAGGGUGCGAGCGUUAAUCGGAAUUACUGGGCGUAAAGGGUGCGUAGGCGGCUUGAUAAGUCGGAUGUGAAAGCCCCGGGCUUGACCUGGGAAUUGCAUUCGAUACUGUCAGGCUAGAGUAUGUCAGCGGUUGGCGGAAUUCCUGGUGUAGCGGUGAAAUGCGUAGAUAUCAGGAGGAACACCAGUGGCGAAGGCGGCUAACUGGGACAAUACUGACGCUGAGGCACGAAAGCGUGGGGAGCAAACAGGAUUAGAAACCCUAGUAGUCC